UGAAACAUCAGUGUUAAUAGUCCUGUCAGCCAGGGCUCAACUGAAUGAUGCUGCCACCUGAAGUCCUCACCAUGGAUGAUAAAGAGGUGCUUGUAAUGCCUUUCACCACACAAACAUGUAGUGUCUCUGUCUGUUUCUAGCCCCCUGAGCUUUCCUUGUACAUGUUUUCCCCUCCCACUGUCCCUCCUCUCCCUCUCUCUCUUUGUGAAUGCCACAGGCCUCUCACCCCUCAGUCCAGAUUUAGACCUCAGUCUUUCCCAGACAUUCAGACCCAGCUGUCUGAAGCUGGCUGGUGGUGCACAGAUUCCCUUUUCUCCCUUGUUCUCUGUGUCCAAUUCUUCUUUCUUCUCUUCCUCUCCUCCUCUGUCCUUCUUCACUAUGCCUGGACUCUGGCACCACUACCAUAUCUGACAUGGUAGCAGAUCUUCACAGAUGUUUCAGGUGAACAGUAUGUCGGAGUGUUGUAAUCUUUUGUUUUGAUGCCCAAGAUUUCGCCAGUCGGUCUGGUUCCACAGAGGCAGACGUCCUGCUCCUCUUCCCCAGCAAUGGAGCCUCUUCCAGAGGUUCCGUUAUUUGAGAUGGACCAGGAAGAGGAUGAAGAGGAAGAUGUCCUUUCAAUGAAGAACAGAGGUGGCUGUAUAUAUGCAAAACAUGCUUUUGCAGGCCCAGACCCUGACACUUUCAUAUACACAAAUUUCAUGAAGAGUCACUGCUGCUACGAUGCCAUCCCUACCAGCUCCAAGCUGGUCAUCUUUGACACAACACUACAGGUGAAGAAAGCUUUUUUUGCUCUGGUGGCUAAUGGUGUGAGAGCAGCACCGUUGUGGGACAGCAAGCUUCAGUGUUUUGUGGGUAUGCUGACCAUCACUGACUUCAUCAACAUUCUCCAUCGUUACUACAAAUCUCCUCUGGUUCAGAUCUAUGAGCUUGAAGAACACAAGAUAGAGACAUGGAGAGAGAUCUAUCUACAGUACUCCAUUAACAGACUGAUCAGCAUCACUCCUGACUCCAGUCUGUUUGAGGCCAUCUACUCCCUGUUGAAGAAUAAGAUCCACAGGCUACCGGUCAUUGACCCAGCAUCGGGAAACGUCCUUCAUAUCCUCACUCACAAACGCAUCCUCAAGUUCCUCCACAUCUUUGGAUCCAUGAUACCUAAACCCAGGUUUCUUCAAAAGCAGAUCAAUGAAGUGGCGAUCGGUACCUUUAAACAGAUUGCAACAGUCCAGGAAUCAGCCUCUGUGUAUGAUGCUCUGACCAUUUUUGUAGAAAGAAGAGUGUCAGCUCUGCCUGUGGUCAAUGAGCAAGGUAAAGUGGUGGCAUUGUACUCCAGGUUUGAUGUCAUUAACCUCGCAGCUCAGAAAAACUACAACAACCUGAACAUGACAAUGCAGGAGGCAAUUGCCUCCAGAGCCUGCUGUGUGGAAGGAGUCCUCAAGUGUUACCCUUAUGAAACACUUGAGACCAUCAUUGACCGCAUUGCGAAGGCUGAGGUCCAUCGUUUGGUGUUGGUUGACAGUGACGAUGUGGUGAGAGGGAUUGUUUCUUUAUCUGACCUCCUUCAAGCGCUGGUCCUCACUCCUGCAGCCAAGCAAAUCUUCUAAAACCUCGUCUGAACUUCGCACCAAUCAGCUGCUCACCUCGUCAUUCUAUGAAGUCCAACACCAACCCUCCACACUUUCAAACAUACCUCUUUCAUCAGUCAGCCAGCAUCUUCGUACUGCAGUUCCUCCUCUGAAACCACCAUGCCACCAGCACCUCUUAUCCAACACAACUCAGAUAUUUAUGAGAGAUAAUCCUUUCAAGACAAUGAUCAAGUAAAACAAGAUUAUGAUCAUGAGGUGGCAGAGCAGGACUGUGGCAAAGAAGACACUGGUUUCAGUCCCAGUCUAGAGGAAAAAUAUGGGAGGGAAAAGUGAAAGCAGAAACACUUUGACCCUCCUCUAUGAGCUCCAAUGACAUGCUCUUUAUGGAGCACUUUAUUUCCAAGUGAUGUGGCUCAGUGGUUGCCAGUGGAAGACCGUGUUGAACUAUAUCAUGGUGUCUGCAGAACAGCAGCAAACUGAUGAUGGCUUUUGACUUAAAAAUCAAAUUUGCUGUUACUUGUAAAUUGAGUUGCUGAUACAUGAUUUUUUUUUUGGUUAAAAAAGUGAUGUCACGUUUAAUGAUUUGUACUUAACUUUGUGGUCUUUUACUAAUUAUUCAUACAUAGAAAAUAUUGGAUCAUGGACUUCAGGUGACAUUUUUGUAAAUGCACUUAUGCUCCAGUCCCUGUGGAAAAAAUAAAUAAAUGUUUUGCUCUGUUCUCAGUCA